rnacentral:rRNA from 1 species
UACGGGGGGAGCAAGCGUUGUUCGGAUUUACUGGGCGUAAAGGGCGCGUAGGCGGCCUCCGCAAGUCAGUUGUGAAAUCUCCGAGCUUAACUCGGAAAGGUCAACUGAUACUGCGGGGCUAGAGUGCGGAAGGGGCAACUGGAAUUCUCGGUGUAGCGGUGAAAUGCGUAGAUAUCGAGAGGAACACCUGCGGCGAAAGGCGGGUUGCUGGGCCGACACGUGACGCUGGAGGCGCGAAAGCCAGGGGAGCGAACGGGG